AUCGCGGGCAGUGGCGGCAGGACGGUGAGAUCGGAACAGGGUGGGUCCGUCGCCGGCGACGAGAGGUACACGGCGAGUCACAGUGAGAAGUGAUUGAAGGCUGCUGCAAGCUGGUCUGACGGAUUAUUCGUGAAACGGAGCACGAUGGACGCGUGCCCGUCUUUCCUCCGCAGCCUGUCUGCGCUGCUCGUGAUCUCCUUCCUGUCGUCGCUGGUGCUACAGCCGCUGAUACCCUCCGUUCGCGCCGAGGCACUCUCAGAGCUCACAGCCAGUGCACUGGAACUCGACAGACUGUUCCAGGCCGAACAGAACAUAGUGAAGGAACUGGAGAAGUUUGUUCAACUGUCGGAGAGCAAGCUGGAGCUAGCCAAACGUUAUUUGGAAACGUACCGUGAGCACAACCCGAUGCUUCAGCCCAGCAACCCAGUGAGGGACUACAAGCUCAUGCAGCGCGUCGAAUCACUGUGGACAGAGGAGCUGUACACACCGGACCUUCUAGAAACUCUGACCUCAGUUCAGCGCCGCGUUGAAGAGUUCACCAACUCCGAGACAGGCACUCGGCCCGGCACAGAGGAGGCGCUGGAGACCCUCAGGGCAAUGGUGGAGGUGCAGUCCGUCUAUGAUCUGGAUGUGACCGAUCUGGCCGAAGGCAGACUCAUGGGACUCGAUACUGGCACAAAGAUGUCGGUGGACGACCUGCUGAAGCUGGCUGGCGUCAUGUGUGCCUCCAACGCCGUGGACAAGUGCCUCGUCUGGCUGGAGGGCGCUCUUCAGGUGGCCAUGGCCAGAAACCUGACUGACUGGGUGAACGACAUCAGACCCAGUUACACGGAUAUGAUAAAGAGGCACGACAAGAGACUGAGCCAGGGAGGUACUCCGGGCAUGCAACUGUUCCCCUACCCUGUGGGGGAUGGCUCCCCGAGGGCCAUGCAGAGAGAGCUGGAGGAACACAUCACAUUGGCAGACAAGGCAGCGGCCAUCAACAAACUCUGCCGCGGUACGGAGCUCAGGGAUGCGUCUCAACUCUCCAAGCUGUACUGCAAGUAUGAGAGACCUCAUCCCUACCUCUUCAUGCAACCCUUGAAGACAGAAGUGCAAAACAUCGACCCGUAUCUGUGCAUUUAUCACGACGUUCUCCGCAAGAGCGAAAUCGACCAACUAAUAGUCACCGCUAGACCACAUAUGGAGCGUUCGAUGGUGGGUAUCGGCCAUGACAGCUGGACGGGUCGCGUGUCCAGCAGCUCGCGGCUCGAGGACACCGAUCACCCGGUGGUGAUGACGCUCAACCGGCGCAUCGAGAUGGCCACAGGGCUGGACGUGACCAACCGAACUGGAUACGAACAGGAGAUGCUGCAGGUGUGCGAAUAUGGAACGGGUGGUCAAUUUUCGGCACAUCACGACUACCUCAACCUGGCAGACGAGGCUAUACUGCAGAGCUUUAUCGACAAUGAGGACGAUGCAUACAUCACGGGCGAGAGAAUUGCAACAAUCAUGUUUUACCUGAACCCCGUGCUACGCGGAGGUCGGACCGUGUUCCCCUACCUGGGCGUCUCAGUAGAGCCAGAGCAGGGCUCGGCCGUCUACUGGGACAACGUGCUCCCUGACGGCACCGCGGACGAACGCACGCUACACUCGGGCUGUCCAGUGGCAUACGGCUACAAGUGGAUUGCCAACAAGUUCAUCAGGGAGCUGUCUCAGACUUUCCGAAGACCGUGUCGCGAGGUCUAAACACAGCGAUAAGCCAUUCUCAUCUACACAAAACAGUGCCUUCACCCACGGGUUCGAGGAAAAUCCAGCAAUUCUAGCAUGAAACGUUUAUGAACUGUGAGAUGUUAAGUGUGUUAAUUGUGUUCAUGCGCUCUCUGCAGUCUGACGUUGCCGUCGCACAUUGGGAAACAAACACUGGCAUCUGCCCGUGCUAUUGUGAUAGCUGUGAAAAGGGCCGUGAUGUGAUCAGGAAAUGAAUGUGAAUACUCUGUGCGAUACUCAAUACUCAUUGGAACGCUUGAGGUAGUGAGUUAAGUUGUUUAUUUUUACUCUACAACUUAACAUGAACACACUCUGGUGUGUUCAUAGUCAAUUAUUGCUGAGGUUUCCACACCCAGCGUACCUUCUUGCUAGUUGCUACUUGCUACAGACCCAGCGUACCUUCUCGCUACAGAACAGCUGUUCCGCUGUGUGGAUGGAGGUAUAUUUCAGUAUUUUAUAGGGGGUCAUUUUCCUGGGCUUUGCAGGAUGCUGGGUCACUGAUCCCAGAAAAAGUUACCUAUUAUUAUGAGGCACGUGGUGUGAUGUAAUACUUCCAUCCUUUUGCAAUGCGUACCUUUUUUAUCAGAAGUUGAUGACUGGACUUUGAUAAAGCUGGACCUUGAGCGAAGAGUGGAAAUUACGUUUUUAAGAUGGAUUGAUGUUUUAUACGAAUAGGCAAGGGAUGUGUAGGUGUUCAGACCACUAGUACAAUGCAAAAGUUGUUCUGUUAUUGCUGUUGUGGUUUGAAACGAAGGGAAUGUGUGUAACUGUAAUUAGUGGUGUACGGGGAUUGUUUCUAUAAGCAUCUUCCUUGUUUGUUAAACCCAAUAAAUAGGUAUCGUCUUUUUA
rnacentral:misc_RNA from 1 species